GAUGAACGCUAGCGAUAGGCCUUACACAUGCAAGUCGAGGGGCAGCACAUAAAUUGUAGCAAUACGAUUUUGGUGGCGACCGGCGCACGGGUGAGUAACGCGUAUGCAACCUACCUACUACUUUGGCAUAGCUCGUUGAAAGACGAAUUAAUACCUCAUAAAACAGGGGCUCCGCAUGGAGAUAUUUGUUAAAAGAUUUAUCGGUAGUAGAUGGGCAUGCGUUCCAUUAGUUAGUUGGCGAGGUAACGGCUCACCAAGACAACGAUGGAUAGGGAACUGAGAGGUUUAUCCCCACACUGGAACUGAGACACGGUCCAGACUCCUACGGGAGGCAGCAGUGAGGAAUAUUGGUCAAUGGAGGCAACUCUGAACCAGCCAAGUCGCGUGAAGGAUGACGGCCCUACGGGUUGUAAACUCUUUUUAAGGGAAUAAAGUGAGCCACGUGUGGCUUUUUGCAUGUACCUUACGAUAAGGAUCGGCUAACUCCGUGCCAGCAGCCGCGGUAA
rnacentral:rRNA from 1 species